rnacentral:tRNA from 1 species
GUUAGGGUGGCAGAAACUGGAUAUGCGGAAGGUCUAAGCCCUUUUCUAUGGAGGUUCAACUCCUCUCCUUAACU